rnacentral:tRNA from 1 species
UCCCUGGUGGCUCAGAGGUUAAAGCAUCUGCCUGCAAUGCGGGAGACCCAGGUUUGAUUUCUGGUUCAGGAA